AUAUAUUGAAGAAAUUGGCAUAGAAAAACGAGAGACAACCAGUCGGAAGAGAGAAACUUUUAUUAAAAAGUACCAAGAUGGACACUAUUGACACUCACUCAGUUUAAGCCUCUACUUUGCAUAUCUGGAUGAGUGAAUCAGCGGUCUUCUUACAAACAUCAUUUAGGUUUGCUAUAUUUCCUCUUAUUUCUUGUUUCUUAAAUUUUUCAAUUUGAUCCGACAGAGCCGCAUCAAAAUUUAUUAACUGCAUUUCUGUGCUUUCAAGAUUACCAAGGUUACUGUUAAUGGCGAGUGCCAGACUCUUUUGUGCAUUCUCUAAGAUAUCUUGCAAGUAUUUUCCUUGAGCCUCUAUUCUCAUUUGCAGUUUAUUUUGUACCUGUCUUCACAAGAGCCAACAAAAUGAAAAUUGAUCACAAACUUGAGAUUGAGUUUGUUGUAACUAGAAGAAUUUAGCAAGGUGUACCUCGAGUUGUUCUAGUAUUGUUUUUUGGACUUCAACAUGUGAUUUAAGAGCCUCAGCAAUUUGCAUCCCUCUGUUCAAGUAAGUUAAAUAAAAAAUGGAAUAUUAUUAUGCAAUAGAUAAUCUCAGUUUCAAGGA